rnacentral:rRNA from 1 species
CAAACGGGUGAGUAACACGUGGGUAAUCUGCCCUCGGUUCCGGGAUAGCCCGGGGAAACUCGGAUUAAUACCGGAUAGCCUCAAGAACCUUCGGGGGACUGAGAAAAGGUAGCUUUGGCCUCUGACCGAGGAUGAGCCCGCGGUGGAUUAGCUUGUUGGCGGGGUAACGGCCCACCAAGGCGACGAUCCAUAGCUGGUCUGAGAGGACGAUCAGCCACACUGGGACUGAGACACGGCCCAG